AGGUGUACGCUUUAGUUGCGUAAAAGCGUGGGGAGCAAACAGGAUUAAAUACCCUGGUCGUCCCCGCCGUAAACGAUGAAAGUUAGCUGUUGGGGCACUUUAGUCUCCUGUGGCGCAGCUGUUUCAUCAAACAUUCCGCCAUUGGAGUACUGUCCCAAGAGUAAAACUCAAAGUAUUUGAGUGGGAGACGCUCAAGCUGUAAAGCAUGUUGUUUUAAUUUGAACCAACGCGUAGAACCUUACCUGAACUUGACAUCCCGAUCGCGGUUAGUGGAGACAAUAUCCUUCAGUUCAGCUGGAUCGGAGACAGGUGCUGCAUGGGUGUCGACAGCUCGUGUCGUUAGAUGUUGGGUUAAGUCCCGCAACGAGCGCAAGAAUCGGCCUUAGUUGCCAGCAUUCAGUUGGGCACUCUAAGGGGACUGCCGGUGAUAAUGCGAGAAGAAGGCGAUGAUGACGUCAAGUCCCCACCGUCCUUACGUGCUGGGCUACACACGUGCUACAAUGGUGGUGACAGUGUGCAGCGAGCUCGCGAGUGUGAGCUAAUCUCCAAAAGCCAUCUCAGUUCGGAUAGCACUCUGCAACUCGAGUGCAUGAAGUAGGAAUCGCUAGUAAUCGCGGAUCAGCAUGUCGCGGUGAAUGCGUUCACGGGUCUUGUAC
rnacentral:rRNA from 2 species